rnacentral:rRNA from 1 species
AAUACGUUCCCGGGCCUUGUACACACCGCCCGUCACACCACGAAAGUCGGUAACACCCGAAGCCGGUGGCCCAACCGUAAGGAGGGAGCCGUCGAAGGUGGGAUCGGUGAUUGGGGUG